AGCAAGCAACAAUCAUACAAUAAAAAUGGACGGUUGAUAAGAAAAUCACCAAUCUCCCAUAUUCAUCGAUCAUUUGUGACCCACCUCAUAAGUGGGCCAGAUUAAAUUUUUGGAUAGACUAUCGUCACAUUACAUUGAUCUAUAACCAUGAUGGGUCCAUAUGAUUCACCUUCAAUCUUUCGUCAUGCGCGCGAAUCCCUCUACGAUUUCUAAACAGGUGUAUAUAUAUAAGAGAAGAAGGAAAUGUCCAUCCAUUCCAUUCCAUACCUUCUUCUCAUAAUCUCCUCUCUUAAUUGUGAUUAAGCCUCUUCUAAUCCAUUUUAAUUUCCCUAAUUAUCUUUUCUUCAAUUGAAAAAUGAGAUUACACGCCCUAAUCCCCAUCUUCUUCGUAUUCUUAUCCGUGACGCUUCUUCAUGUGGCCCAUGGCCAGACCUUAGCUCCUUCGCCCAUCCCCGAUGGCCCAGCAAGCGACGGCACAACCAUCGAUCAAGGGAUUGCUUAUGUCCUUCUACUAAUCGCCCUGGCUGUCACAUAUCUCGUCCAUUGAUUUCCUCUGCAUCUCUUUUACCUAAAUAGGAUUCUUUUGUACUUUCUCCUGUAUUUGGGAGUUCUGUCUCUCCAUUUUCACUAUUCAUUCUAAUAAAUUCACCAUUUUUUUAAAUUUUUUUAUAGAAUAUUUUCUUUUUGUUAGGGGAGUCCUUUGAUGCACUGGCAGUCUAUGACCCUUGAUACACCGGCAUCCAAAAUUGUACAUGUGGCAUAUGCUUAACUUAAAUUAAACAAGUAAAUUAUAGAAAUUGUUUAUACCUCU